rnacentral:lncRNA from 1 species
UCGUUGGCCGGGAAGUUACGAUGUUAGAGAUGGGAAACAAAGUGCUCUGUUUCUAUCGCACCACAACCGGAGCCACUGGCGAUGCUGGCAAAGGCGGUGCGACGGUGAAGAAGGAGGCAGCAGUGGUGGCGCGGCUAGAAGCAGCAUCACCAACGAUCGCCGACGAGGGGAGGUCGAGUGGCUACGGUUGCGACCCAAGGGGAGGCGGGCAACGACAAUAGGGUUGGGAUGGACGCUGGCAGCGUCGUCUCCUGGCCGGGGAACAGUGGCGGCGGUGGUCUCUGGCCGUGAAGUGGGGCGAUGGUGGGUGCUGGCCGGAGAUCAGCAGCGGUGGGUGGGCUGGCCGGAAGCAGGGGACGCAGGGGUGGCUGCGGCUUCUUCUUCCUCCCUUGUUUCUUUCUUUCUUUUUUGUUUUUUUUUUUUUUAACGAGUUGGGGCAGCGAGGAGGUUGAGUAGUGGUCGAAGGUCGCUGGCCGGGGAGAAGCAGCGACAAUGGUGAAGAAAGAGUUACCUUGUAGUGGUGGUGGGGAAGAAGGGAAGCAAGGCUACGGCGGGCUGCACCAAGGAUCGUUGCUUUGAUACCAAAU